ACGAUGCUGGAACAGCAGCGUCCAAGGUUUGAUAACCAGUAAAAAAAUUCUUCACAAUGGCGCCCUAUGUAAAAGACCGAGCCAGUCCGAUUGAGAUAACUCGAUUUUUCAGUUACUUCCCUUGGCAUUCGCCACUGCGUAGGAGAUUGCUCGUUGAUUUUCAUUGAUAACAUUCUCCUAGCAGAGUUGUCGUUCGUGUUGAUAAAGGUAAAUAUUUAUAGAACAGCAUAUCCUGGGGAAACAGAUUCAAUAAGUGUAUCAGAACGUUAAUUUCAAAUUAGUAAUUUUACAUCCAUUUUAUUUUUAUGGACCAAUGAAACAACUAUAUAUUUUCUCUAUUUUGUUUGAUAUUUGUUCUCGAUUUAGUAAAUAAAUUGCGAAUAAAAACAUGUGAAAUUAACUUUUUACGUGAUCACAAAACUAAAGAAUGCGAACGAUUUGGAACCUGCAAAUUGUAAACGCUGCACUGCUAUGAUCUAUCAUUCAAAAUUCGUCCCAACUGUCGUCAAUCUAAUCUUAUUAGGUAGGAGUGCUGGACACACUCCGGGUCCCAACAUUAUGCAGCCUCAGCGCGGGGGUAACUCAUUACCUAGGAAAAACACAAAUACACACACUGGGUGCAGCCUAGGCGCGUAUAGACUCAAACAAGGCAACAAACUCAAGUGCGGGCACAAUCAUUUAAAAUUUACAUAUUGAAUACGAAAUUCUAACAGAAAUUACACAACCACCUAAGUGUACAUACCAUGUCUGAUAUUUCGUUCGAUUGUUAGAUUUCAGCAAAUACAUGUAUAAGGUCAUUUCGCUAUUAGUUAACUUAUCCAUAUGUUCGUGGGCGAACUCGGAUAGUCAAGUGCUCAUACGAUUGAGCUCACAUGGUCCGGCUAUGUGCUCAUACCUACUUUCGAGAAUCAUCAUGAAUGUAUUGCCAUACUUAAUGAACAAGAAUGUGACCCGCCUCCCAGUUUCGCUCAAUGGGUCAAGUUACCCACGGGUACUACUUCCCCGUACCCCUAAACUUU